GACGAACGCUGGCGGCGUGCUUAACACAUGCAAGUCGAACGGAAAGGCCCUGCUUUUGUGGGGUGCUCGAGUGGCGAACGGGUGAGUAACACGUGAGUAACCUGCCCUUGACUUUGGGAUAACUUCAGGAAACUGGGGCUAAUACCGGAUAGGAGCUCCUGCUGCAUGGUGGGGGUUGGAAAGUUUCGGCGGUUGGGGAUGGACUCGCGGCUUAUCAGCUUGUUGGUGGGGUAGUGGCUUACCAAGGCUUUGACGGGUAGCCGGCCUGAGAGGGUGACCGGCCACAUUGGGACUGAGAUACGGCCCAGACUCCUACGGGAGGCAGCAGUGGGGAAUAUUGCACAAUGGGCGGAAGCCUGAUGCAGCAACGCCGCGUGCGGGAUGACGGCCUUCGGGUUGUAAACCGCUUUCGCCUGUGACGAAGCGUGAGUGACGGUAAUGGGUAAAGAAGCACCGGCUAACUACGUGCCAGCAGCCGCGGUGAUACGUAGGGUGCGAGCGUUGUCCGGAUUUAUUGGGCGUAAAGGGCUCGUAGGUGGUUGAUCGCGUCGGAAGUGUAAUCUUGGGGCUUAACCCUGAGCGUGCUUUCGAUACGGGUUGACUUGAGGAAGGUAGAGGAGAAUGGAAUUCCUGGUGGAGCGGUGGAAUGCGCAGAUAUCAGGAGGAACACCAGUGGCGAAGGCGGUUCUCUGGGCCUUUCCUGACGCUGAGGAGCGAAAGCGUGGGGAGCGAACAGGCUUAGAUACCCUGGUAGUCCACGCUGUAAACGGUGGGUACUAGGUGUGGGGUCCAUUCCACGGGUUCCGUGCCGUAGCUAACGCUUUAAGUACCCCGCCUGGGGAGUACGGCCGCAGGGCUAAAACUCAAAGGAAUUGACGGGGCCCCGCACAAGCGGCGGAGCAUGCGGAUUAAUUCGAUGCAACGCGUAGAACCUUACCUGGGUUUGACAUGGAUCGGGAGUGCUCAGAGAUGGGUGUGCCUCUUUUGGGGUCGGUUCACAGGUGGUGCAUGGCUGUCGUCAGCUCGUGUCGUGAGAUGUUGGGUUAAGUCCCGCAACGAGCGCAACCCUUGUUCACUGUUGCCAGCACGUUAUGGUGGGGACUCAGUGGAGACCGCCGGGGUCAACUCGGAGGAAGGUGGGGAUGACGUCAAGUCAUCAUGCCCCUUAUGUCCAGGGCUUCACGCAUGCUACAAUGGCUGGUACAGAGAGUGGCGAGCCUGUGAGGGUGAGCGAAUCUCGGAAAGCCGGUCUCAGUUCGGAUUGGGGUCUGCAACUCGACCUCAUGAAGUCGGAGUCGCUAGUAAUCGCAGAUCAGCAACGCUGCGGUGAAUACGUUCCCGGG
rnacentral:rRNA from 1 species